GACGAACGCUGGCGGCGUGCUUAACACAUGCAAGUCGAACGGAAAGGCCCUGCUUGCAGGGUACUCGAGUGGCGAACGGGUGAGUAACACGUGGGUGAUCUGCCCUGCACUUCGGGAUAAGCCUGGGAAACUGGGUCUAAUACCGGAUAGGAGCCAUUUUUAGUGUGAUGGUUGGAAAGUUUUUUCGGUGUAGGAUGAGCUCGCGGCCUAUCAGCUUGUUGGUGGGGUAAUGGCCUACCAAGGCGGCGACGGGUAGCCGGCCUGAGAGGGUGGACGGCCACAUUGGGACUGAGAUACGGCCCAGACGCCUACGGGAGGCAGCAGUGGGGAAUAUUGCACAAUGGGCGCAAGCCUGAUGCAGCGACGCCGCGUGGGGGAUGACGGCCUUCGGGUUGUAAACUCCUUUCGCGAGGGACGAAGCUUUUUGUGACGGUACCUAGAUAAGAAGCACCGGCUAACUACGUG
rnacentral:rRNA from 1 species